UUUCCUUGCCCGGAAUGGUUGGGUAAUCUUGUUAAACUCUGUCGUGCUGGGGAUAGAGCAUUGCAAUUAUUGCUCUUCAACGAGGAAUGCCUAGUAAGCGUACGUCAUCAGCGUGCGUUGAUUACGUCCCUGCCCUUUGUACACACCGCCCGUCGCUACUACCGAUUGAAUGGCUCAGUGAGGCUUUGGGACUGGCUCA
rnacentral:rRNA from 1 species